rnacentral:rRNA from 1 species
UACGUAGGGGGCAAGCGUUGUCCGGAAUUACUGGGCGUAAAGAGCUCGUAGGUGGUUUGUCGCGUUGUUCGUGAAAACUCACAGCUUAACUGUGGGCGUGCGGGCGAUACGGGCAGACUGGAGUACUGCAGGGGAGACUGGAAUUCCUGGUGUAGCGGUGGAAUGCGCAGAUAUCAGGAGGAACACCGGUGGCGAAGGCGGGUCUCUGGGCAGUAACUGACGCUGAGGCACGAAGGUCAGGGGAGCAAACGGG